GUCAGGUCUUGGAUGGCUUGUUUAUGUUGCUAAUUGUACAGACUGAUUUCUAUAGGCCAUGGGGAUAAUUUUCCGAAAAUAUGAGUGAUAUUACAUGGAGCCUUUGGACACAUCAGUAUGGUAGAUGUAUUUGAAGUGGACAUGCUGGAGAGAGAGUGUGGAGAAGCAAAUUGAUGCAGAGAUAUAAGCUUUCACUGCCACUCCUAAUGUGGUGAGACAUUGCUGGAGGCACAGGCUGCAGAUCACUGAAUAAUGUAAUUAUCGUCUGUUGUCUGGGCUCUUAACUCCCACUGAACACCAAGGCUGCCAAAAGUGAUGACUCACAGUGCCGUGGAUGACGACAUCAUAACUGCUCAGCAAACAUGCCUGGGAUUUAUUGCCGUCGAGUUUGUAAAGUGUGUUGUAACAUUGGAGAGAUAAAGUUAAUUUUUGUAAAAUGAAAACAAGGGCAAAAUGACAAGAGAUGGGAAGCAGAGAAGGCUAAUGAAGACGUGGACAUAAAAACCACUUCGCUUCCUGGCAGCCAGGGUAAAAGGACAGUGGUGCUGGGCUAAAUCAUUACCAUUUGAUGUAGAAUGCUAAAUUCCUAGAAAUGACCAAUAUGUCCUAGUUCUGAACUCAGAGGAAUUUCUCAUGUGGCAGGAUAGAAGAGCAUAAUAA
rnacentral:lncRNA from 13 species